rnacentral:rRNA from 1 species
UCCAGACUCCUACGGGAGGCAGCAGUGAGGAAUAUUGGUCAAUGGGCGCAGGCCUGAACCAGCCAAGUCGCGUGAGGGAAGACUGCCCUAUGGGUUGUAAACCUCUUUUAUAAGGGAAGAAUAAUGACUACGUGUAGUCAGAUGCCCGUACCUUAUGAAUAAGCAUCGGCUAACUCCGUGCCAGCAGCCGCGGUAAUACGGAGGAUGCGAGCGUUAUCCGGAUUUAUUGGGUUUAAAGGGUGCGUAGGCGGGCUUUUAAGUCAGCGGUAAAAAUUCGGGGCUCAACCCCGUCCGGCCGUUGAAACUGGGGGCCUUGAGUGGGCGAGAAGAAGGCGGAAUGCGUGGUGUAGCGGUGAAAUGCAUAGAUAUCACGCAGAACCCCGAUUGCGAAGGCAGCCUUCCGGCGCCCUACUGACGCUGAGGCACGAAAGUGCGGGGAUCGAACAGGAUUAGAUACCCCAGUAA